UGGGGAAUUUUGGACAAUGGGCGAAAGCCUGAUCCAGCAAUGCCGCGUGUGUGAAGAAGGCCUUCGGGUUGUAAAGCACUUUUGUCCGGAAAGAAAUCCUUGGCUCUAAUACAGUCGGGGGAUGACGGUACCGGAAGAAUAAGCACCGGCUAACUACGUGCCAGCAGCCGCGGUAAUACGUAGGGUGCAAGCGUUAAUCGGAAUUACUGGGCGUAAAGCGUGCGCAGGCGGUUUGCUAAGACCGAUGUGAAAUCCCCGGGCUCAACCUGGGAACUGCAUUGGUGACUGGCAGGCUAGAGUAUGGCAGAGGGGGGUAGAAUUCCACGUGUAGCAGUGAAAUGCGUAGAGAUGUGGAGGAAUACCGAUGGCGAAGGCAGCCCCCUGGGCCAAUACUGACGCUCAUGCACGAAAGCGUGGGGGAGCAAAACAGGAUUAGAUACCCCUGGUAGUCCACGCCCUAAAACGAUGUCAACUAGUUGUUGGGGAUUCAUUUUCCUUAGUAACGUAGCUAACGCGUGAAGUUGACCGCCUGGGGAGUACGGUCGCAAGAUUAAAACUCAAAGGAAUUGACGGGGUCAUAGCUGUUUCCU
rnacentral:rRNA from 1 species